GUUCCUGCAGUGGUCACUAGGAAGAAGAUGUACAGUUGAAGCCUGUCGAUCACCAUGGCCACGUACUUCCAGUCCUCCCGGAUCUAGAACACACGUAAGGGUUUUAGGUCAGUAAUACCAAGAGCUGACAGACAUCCUCCGAUUUGCAGACUGACGAACAAAGGAAUCACCACGACAGGAAGUGACGUGGAGUCCGGCAACCACACUCCCCACGAGAAAAACACGCGGAAUCAUCAAGCAGCGAGUUUUAACUUCCCUGAAGCGUCCAGAAAGACUCCGGAGCUCACCCAGAAUCAUGCCCAAAGAAUAUCAGAAACACCUACCUGGGGGUAAAGCGGCUGAAGCGUGAAGAUGAUCACUCACCUCCAUCUCGUGACAAAAUUAAGAAUAUGUGGAGAUAUACCUGCGCCCCACCAUACGUCUUCAUCGCAUUAAUGCAUAAGUACAGGGCUCUAAUAUUUUACUACAGUCCUCAUGGCGGUUAGUGUUCUGAUUGUGUUUUCUGGAUUGGGACUCCGUGGAGUCUUGGAGUUGGAUGCCACCAUCUAGGCGCAACUUGCUGCCUCAGUCUUCAGUGCUGACCCUGACUGCAGUGCCAGAAUAUCCCCCCAAAACCCCGAGGACAUCAGUGUAAAGUUCGUGGGUCCUUGAGCUGCGGUCCGCUACGUCACACUGUACCAAGUUCUGAAGCGCCAAAGAGACAACAAUCGUGCACAGCACGGUGUCUGCUGUGGUCUAUCCCACAGCCAAUUGCUUGUAGUCCUGUGCAAGCAUUCUUCUUUUCAUAAAGAUUUCAGCCGUUGCCUAAUGUGAGGACGCGCUGCAGUCUCUUGUUCAACCGUUCAUGAGCGCUACUUGCAUUCUACUGUAUUGAAGGAAAAGUCGAUUUCUAAUAAUGUGCUCUUUAUAUUUUAAUUUGGAACCCUUGGGGCUUUUCAACUGCGGUCCGAUCAAUGGGACUUCUCUCCGGGCGGUAGUCAUUGAAUCGGUAACCUGCCACUGAGAGACAGACCAGCUCCACCCUCCGGUUUACACUUCUAGCAAACAAGAGAGGCUUUAGCGGCGUUACAUCUUAGCUCUUCACUGCUGUCGUAACAAGUCCUUCAGAGAAAUUAACCCAUUACAACCCACAGGAAGCGGCUCGUGAGCACGGUCAACGUGCAACAAUGGAAAAAUUGUCUCAAUGGACGAAUGCUAUUGCGCAUUGCUAGGGAAUAGUGCACCGAUGAAGACGCUGGGUAGGAAUCACGCGACAUGUUCUCUGUAUGGUCCUCCUUAUGCAACAAUUGAAGAGUGUUUUCUGUGCGUGGUCCGUACGAAGACUAUAAAACGAGAAUAGCACAAGCAGUUCAUUUCAGUUCUCGGCAGCAGACAGCCACGGAAAGUUCAUAGAAGACCUGUGAAAACUUAACGUGUGAAUUGAACACUUUGUGUGUUAUAAUUAGAGUGAUCUUGAAAGUGUUACAAUUAUUUGUAGUUACAACCAGUGAAGAUCCAAUA